GUCUGGAGUCAAGUUAGCCCCCGUAAUGUUGCCGGUGAAUACCGAACAAUGUGCGGGGGUUUUCUC
rnacentral:antisense_RNA from 2 species